UUGAAGAGUGAAGUGGGGAAAUGUUCCAUGUGAAAAUCACUUGGACAUGGCUGACUAGUCGAUCCUAAGAGAUGGGGAAUCCUUAUAUCAAGGGUGCACUCUGCAUGAACAUUGAAAGAGAAUUGGGUUAAUAUUCUUGAAACGGGACAUGGUGGUGGACGACAAUGUUAGGAAAUCUGGAGAUGUCAUCAGGGGCCUGGGAAGAGUUAUCUUUUCUUUUUAAUGAUUUUCCCACCUGAAAUCAGUUCAACCGGAGAUAGGGUCCAACAUCUGGAAGAGCACCACAUGUAUUUUGGUGUUUGGUGCCCCCUCGACGGCCAUUGAAAAUAUGGAGAACCGAGUACCAUCCAUGCCCGAUCGUAAUCAUAUAUGCCUCCUUGGAUUUUUCAAUGCCC
rnacentral:ncRNA from 1 species